rnacentral:lncRNA from 1 species
CCCUAUUUGAUAAGGGCAAAUUCCCUCUUACAGAAUUCCAGUAAUGAAUGUGGAAGCUUUAACAGAAUUAGAAAAUUACCAUUUUCACAAUCUCUAAUGAAAUAAUAGAUUCAUGCAAAAACCCUCAGUGGAUGAAAUCAUUAGAAGGGUGAAAAGAAGUUCCCAAAUACAGAGAUCAUGUUGUACAUGACUAAACCCAUCUAUUAGUCUGAGCAUUCUUUCAGUGGGACUCCCAGACUUGGUGCACCUCAUUAUUUGAUAUGAUAUGAAGCAUACAGCACCAUCUAUGAAGUAUUUUUGUUAAGUCAGUUAAACUGGAAUCUGACUUAAAAGUGUGGGUGUGCCAUCAGUAAAAAGGAAUUUUGACACAUGCUUGAUGUGGCUGAAACUUGAAGACAUUAUUCUAAGUGAAAUAUAUCAGUAACAAAAGGACAAAUAUUGUAUUAGUCCAGUUAUAUGAGGUACUUAGAAUAGGCAAAUUCAUAGAGACAGAAAAUAGAAAAAGAGUUACCAGGAGCUAGAGGCCAAUUAGGAAUGCAGUCAGGACAAACUUUCUGUAUGGGAUGGAAAAAAGUUUUGGAAAUUGAAAGUGGUAAGGAUUUACACUUUGCAUAACUGUGAAUGCACAUCACCACCACUGAAUUUAUACCUAAAGGAUGAGAAUGCUGGUAAAUUUAUGUUGCAUUUAUUUUACUCAGUUAUUAAAAAGUGUGUAUGUAAGGGAAUAGAUAAAACAAAAUUGGCUAACUUGUUUGACUUGUUGAAAAUUGUUGAAGGUAGAUAAUGGGUAUUGUGGGAGCUUCUUAUAUAAUUUUCUCCAUUUUUUUGAUGUAUGUUUGAAAAUUCCCAUACUGAAAAAAAGUUUAAAAGAUUUAAGAAACAUAAUGAAUAAAUACAAGAAGUCUCUUAUAAAGAUCUUGAUUUUAACAAACC